CCUACGGGUGGCAGCAGUGAGGAAUAUUGGUCAAUGGACGGAAGUCUGAACCAGCCAUGCCGCGUGCAGGAUGACGGUCCUAUGAGUGGUAAACUCCUUUUGUACGAGAGUAAACCGUGACACGUGUUUUCAGCUGAGCGUACUCUACGAACAAGCAUCGGCUAACUCCGUGCCAGCAGCCGCGGUAAUACGGAGGAUUCAAGCGUUAUCCGGAUUUAUUGGGUUUAAAGGGUGCGUAGGCGGAUUGUUAAGUUAGCGGUCAAAAGCCGGGGCUUAACCCCGGAACUGCCUCUAAAACUGUUGGUCUAGAGAGGAGGUGCGGUAGGCGGAAUGCAUGGUGUAGCGGUGAAAUGCAUAGAUAUC
rnacentral:rRNA from 1 species